AGCCGCGUAGCUCAGUUGGAAGAGCAUUGGGCUAGUAUUCCAAAGGUCGUAGGUUCGAUUCCCACCGUGGCCA